GUAAAUUCUUUUGCAAGAGGACCUUUCCCACUUGCCCAUCUAAUCUCGAUCUCUUUUAAUGAUGCACCAAGAACUUUAAUAAGUUCUAAGAAUUUUCUCCAUUUUCGUACAUACUGUGCUAUCUCCUCGGAUUCCUAAAAGAACAAGUUGAUGGAACAACUCUAUCUAUAUCAACUCUUUGAUCGCAGAAUCACACAUGACUCCUUAACAGUGUUGUGGCAUAAUAAACAAGUUAAUAAAAUAAAUUCUAAUGAAA